UGCCAAAUGAGCGACAAGGUCCUCAACUUCUCCAAAGUUAAAAGGCCCAGAAGCCUCUGCAGUUUUCGUCGGGCUGGCUGAGGGAUUCCCGCCCCACCUCGCCCCUCACAGAGGAAAGGACGGCGCAGAUAAACCCUCGACACGUAUUUGUAGUGUGGACGCGCCCCACCCUACUCCUGCUGGGUGAAGCCAUUCCUCUAGAGGUACCCGCCGCGUAACACAAGGCAGAGGGAGGCAGCCCUCUCUUAGAGGAGCCGAGUGGGGCGGGGACGGUCGCGCCCCAGUGGCCGCCGCCCCGAGCGUCCGCCUGCCCCACCCUUCUCAUUUACACCCAAGGAGGCCGCUGGCUCCUCUGGCUGCGGCGCACCCUGCGAGCUGGCUGCCGCCCCCACGUCCGCCAGUUCCAUGGCCCAGGCCUCGGCGUCUUCCUCGUCGUCGUCGCCGCCGCCUUCCUCCUCCGGCUCCACCCCCAGCUUCUCCAUCCCGCCGCUGCCAACCGCAGCGCUACUUCCGGCCGCUUCCGCCUGGUCUCCAGGGAAACCGGGGGACUACAGUCUCCAGUCGCUCUGUGCCUCUCGCCUGCGCAGUCGUGGCCGACCAGCCUGUUGCCCAGAGUGACACGCAUGCCAAGGAAUCGUGGAGGCCCACGUGCGGGAGUUUUUUCCCGCCGGGUGGAGGCCGGAAGCGGAGAGAUUGAAAGCACAAAUGGCUAUUUUUUUUUUUUUUGAGACGGAGUUUCGUUCUUGUUGCUCAGGCUGGAGUGGGCAACAGUGACGCAAUACCGGCUCACUGCAACCUCUGCCUCCCGGAUUCAAGCGAUUCUCCUGCCUCAGCCUCCCAAGUAGCUGGGAUUAACAGGCAUGCGCCAUCACGCCCAGCUAAUUUUUUUGUAUUUAGUAGAGACGAGGUUUCACCAUGUUGGUCAGGCUGGUUUCGAACUCCUGUCCUCAGGUGAUCCACCCUCCUAGGCCUCCCAAAGUGUUGAGAUCACAGGCAUGAGCCACUGCGCCUGGCCUUUUUUUUUUUUUCUUGAAGGCUUUGGAGUUAGGCCCACAUCACAAAUUUUAGCGUUUUGUCUUUGUUCCAUUCGGCUGUUAGCAAACUUGCAAAUCCCUAGACCUGAGUGAUUAAUGUGAUGGGGUGGGAAGGAGUGUAACUGAUAGUAAAGACACAGGUGGCCUUGUAAACUCAUAUGAUUAGCAACUAUGUUAAGGUUUGCUGUGUUUUGUUUGUUGUUGUUUUAUUUAAAGACACUGUGACGAAUUCAACCACAGAAUUUUUAACAUCAAAACUGAAUAGGAUUUGAUACAUGAGUGUUGUAGUCAGACAAAAUCUCCAAUCCAGACCCUCCAUCAUGCUGUGUGACUUUGGGCAGGUUACAUAACUGCUGUGAGCCUCAGUUGCUCUACUCUUAAAAAAAAAAAAAAGUAUUGAGAUUGAAUGAAUGGAUAAAAGCUACCAUAUACUGUAAUAUCCUAAUGUAUAUAAAACAUGUGGCACAUAGGAAGUGCUCAGUAAAUGUCUAUUCUCCUUGCCUUCUAUUAGGAUACCAUGUGUGCAUGUGUGUGUUGGUGUGUGUAUGUGUAUGUUUUACAAUAGAGGAAAUUUGGAAAUUCCUCCAUGCCUGUAUGUAUGUAUAUACACUAUAUCUGUAUAAAUACCCAAAUUAACACAUAUGUUUGG
ensembl:lncRNA novel transcript, antisense to POLI